GGACUACUAGGGUUUCUAAUCCUGUUUGCUCCCCACGCUUUCGCGCCUCAGCGUCAGUUGUGAACCAAGAAGCAGCCUUCGCCAUUGGUGUUCCUCCCGAGAUCUACGCAUUUUACCGCUACUCCGGGAAUUCCACUUCUCUCUCUCACACUCUAGUUCGCCAGUUUUUAUUGCUGAUCUCCAGUUAAGCCAGAGGCUUUAACAACAAACUUAACAAACCGCCUACGCGCCCUUUACGCCCAAUAAUUCCGAAUAACGCUUGCACCUCUCGUAUUACCGCGGCUGCUGGCAC
rnacentral:rRNA from 1 species